rnacentral:tRNA from 1 species
UGGGUGAUGGCACAAUUGGUUAGCGCACCUCUCUGAUAAGGAGGAGGUUCUGGGUUCAAGUCCCAGUCACCCAA